UACAGAGGGUGCGAGCGUUGUCCGGAAUCACUGGGCGUAAAGGGCGCGUAGGUGGCGCCGCAAGUCCAUGGUGAAAGCUCGAUGCUCAACAUCGAGUCGGCCACGGAGACUGCGGGGCUCGAGCACUGUAGGGGCAGAUGGAAUUCCGGGUGUAGCGGUGGAAUGCGUAGAGAUCGGGAGGAACACCAGAGGCGAAGGCGGCGACCUGGACAGUGACUGACACUCAACUGCGAAAGCGUGGGGAGCAAACAGG
rnacentral:rRNA from 1 species